AGUUACUUUAUUUCGAGCAAGAUGUGAAUGGCGGUUAUGGUUUGGCCCUACAGAAUGUAUGCAGAAGAAAGAAGUUACUACUUUUUCUCUAGGUGAUUGAUGAAAUAGAUGGAGCUCUUGGUGAUGGCAAAGGUGCUGUGGAGGUUAUUCUAAAGAUAAUAAGAAGGCUCUCUAAAACCCUGCAGUUUUCUAUCUGAGUCGCCUCUUCACCAUCUCCUUCAAAAUGCGCAGUCUCCACGCUUACAAUCCAGCCGAUGCGAAAGGAAACAGAGGGCUCCUAAGGUCUGGUUAUGGAUAAAGAGAUGGCGGGGAAACGUCGAAGAAAGGAAAGAAAAAAACAUAUAAAAAUAAAACAUAAGGGUAUUUCGUUUCGUUUUCAUGAUUCCCUGGAAAAUGGGUUCAUAUAUUUGUUCAACCAACAGUUAAUCGUGUUGUCAGCAAGUGAUCCUUGACUACCAUGGCUGAUGUUUAAUUGCUGUGACAAUUUCAAGCCUUUCCAUUUCUGAUGGGGAACAUUGGGUUAAGUCGGGAUUGAUACCAACAGAGGCUUUUGUAGGAGCUGUAAUAUUAUCUAGGAGCUGUAAUAUUCUCUAGCAGGUGUAAUAUUCUCUUGUUUUUAUUCAUAAAACACUUGUACAAUUUCCUCUUGCUAAUUCAGAUUUUGUUUUUAGUUUUUGUACUUGA